UGCAGUUAAAAAGCUCGUAGUUGAAUUUCGGGAUCAAAUUGUUGGUCGUGCCUCGGUACGCACUGGCAUUAUCGGUUCCUACCUUCUGAAGAACCGCGAUGUCAUUAAUUUGGUGUCGUGGGGAAUCAGGACUGUUACUUUGAAAAAAUUAGAGUGUUUAAAGCAGGCUUACGCUUGAAUACAUUAGCAUGGAAUAAUGAAAUAGGACGUUUGAUUCUAUUUUGUUGGUUUCUAGGAUCGACGUAAUGAUUAAUAGGGAUAGUUGGGGGCAUUAGUAUUCAAUUGUCAGAGGUGAAAUUCUUGGAUUUAUUGAAGACUAACUACUGCGAAAGCAUUUGCCAAGGAUGUUUUCAUUAAUCAAGAACGAAAGUUAGGGGAUCGAAGACGAUCAGAUACCGUCGUAGUCUUAACCAUAAACUAUGCCGACUAGGGAUCGGAUGAUGUUAAUUUUUUA
rnacentral:rRNA from 1 species